rnacentral:rRNA from 1 species
UGGGGAAUCUUGGACAAUGGGGGCAACCCUGAUCCAGCCAUGCCGCGUGAGUGAUGAAGGCCCUAGGGUCGUAAAGCUCUUUCGCCUGUGAAGAUAAUGACGGUAGCAGGUAAAGAAACCCCGGCUAACUCCGUGCCAGCAGCCGCGGUAAUACGGAGGGUGCAAGCGUUGUCCGGAUUUAUUGGGUUUAAAGGGUGCGUAGGUGGUUUAUUAAGUCAGUGGUGAAAGGCUACAGCUCAACUGUAGGAGUGCCAUUGAUACUGGUAGACUUGAGUUUGGUCGAGGUAGGCGGAAUUUAUGGUGUAGCGGUGAAAUGCAUAGAUACCAUAAAGAACACCGAUAGUGAAGACAGCUUACUAGGCCUGGACUGACACUGAGGCACGAAAGCGUGGGGAGCAAACAGGAUUAGAUACC